CACGAGUCACCCAUUGCUAUUUAUUGCCACUUUCACCCCCAUUUUUCGGGGCGUCGUCCCCUCCCCCAAUGAACUCUCUCAGACCUCGCUGGGUCGAGGGGCCGGGGGGUCCCCCCAGACCUUCUCCCCAGCCCCCCAACUCCUGCCCAGGGGGGGGCCGCUCUCUCCCCCAGGGCUCGGCUGGGGGCGCCCUCCACCCAUUGGGGUGCGGGGUGGUCUUUUGGGGGAGCACGAGGGGUUCUUUUGGGGUUCAGGUUGGGUUUUGGGGGUACGGAGCCUUCUUUUGGGGUUCAAGAUGAUUUUUUGGGGUGCGCCAAGUCCCUCUGGAGGCCACCAAGUCUCUAUGGAGCCACUAAGUUGCUAUGGGGCCACCAAGUCCCUAUAGAGCCACCAAGUCCCUAUGGGGCCACCAAGUCUUUCUGGGGGUCACCAAGUCCCUACAGGGCCACCAAGUCUCCAUGGAGGCCACUAAGUCGCUAUGGGGCCACCAAGUUGCUAUGGGGCCACCAAGUCUUUGUGGGGGACACCAAGUCCCUACAGGGCCACCAAGUCUCCA
rnacentral:lncRNA from 1 species